GACGAACGCUGGCGGCGCGCCUAAUACAUGCAAGUAGAACGCACAGUUUAUACCGUAGCUUGCUACACCAUAGACUGUGAGUUGCGAACGGGUGAGUAACGCGUAGGUAACCUGCCUGGUAGCGGGGGAUAACUAGUGGAAACGAUAGCUAAUACCGCAUAAUAUUAAUUAUUGCAUGAUAAUUGAUUGAAAGAUGCAACUGCAUCACUACCAGAUGGACCUGCGUUGUAUUAGCUAGUAGGGGAGGUAACGGCCCACCUAGGCGACGAUACAUAGCCGACCUGAGAGGGUGAUCGGCCACACUGGGACUGAGACACGGCCCAGACUCCUACGGGAGGCAGCAGUAGGGAAUCUUCGGCAAUGGACGAAAGUCUGACCGAGCAACGCCGCGUGAGUGAAGAAGGUUUUCGGAUCGUAAAGCUCUGUUGUAAGAGAAGAACGGGUGUGAGAGUGGAAAGUUCACACUGUGACGGUAUCUUACCAGAAAGGGACGGCUAACUACGUG
rnacentral:rRNA from 1 species